UAAGGUCACGGCGAGACGAGCCGUUUAUCAUUACGAUAGGUGUCAAGUGGAAGUGCAGUGAUGUAUGUAGCUGAGGCAUCCUAACAGACCGAGAGAUUUGAAC
rnacentral:rRNA from 22 species